UGACACCAGACCUCCGUGGCUAACCGCAAAUCUUUCUAAGAAGACAAAUAAAGUGUAAAUGCUCUUCACGGCAGAUGAACCUUUUGCUGAAGGUGUUAUGAACAAGCUCACAGCUUAAUACAUGUCAUCUGCAACCAGGCUGCCAGAAAGCUGUUUUCUUACACAAUUAUGUUUCGAGAAGGUAUGGGUUUGUGGAGAAACCUAAAAGCGCAAAGAGAGUCAGUGGGAGAGAGAGCUGCUGGCUGUUGUUUGUCUCUGUGGGGAGCUCUAGAGGAGUUCUGUUCUCAAUGGGUUUGUUGCAGUUCGAGUUACAGUGAAUAAGAAUACUGCCUCAAAGAGGACAAGACAUACUGUUCCACCAGCACAUGGACAAUGAGAGUAGAAGCUCUAGAGGAGUUCUGUUCUCAAUGGGUUUGUUGUCAGUUCGAGUUACAGUGAAUAAGAAUACUGCCUCAAAGAGGACAAGACAUACUGUUCCACCAGCACAUGGACAAUGAGAGUAGAGGCUUCUGAGGCAUGAAUUCUUCCACACUGCUACAAAAUACUGUACUAUUAAAAGACAUUUUAAUGGUGGUGGUAUAGUCAAAAGUGGUCUAACACUGAUCCAGUCCAAUUUAAUCACUGUGCAGACAGUUCAAAUCCUUCACCAAUGCAUAAAAAUAAUUGAUGCAAAAAAAGUUCUAAAACUUUCAUACUGUAUAUCUCCAUUUAGGUUUACAAAUCAGUGUCUAUUCGGCAUUCAUUAAGUUGGUCAAUAAAUAAAUAUUUUAAGCUCAAUACCUAGUCAGAAUGAAAACAAUAUCAAUAUGUGAUAAUAUCAUUAUUAUUUAUUAUUAUUAUUAUUGUUGUUGCAUUACUCCUAAACAUUAGAGUAAGAUGAUAUUAAUUCUAUAAGUUCUGUCAGAUUCAAAUUGAAAUAUUAAAUCAUGAUAUACAUAAACAUGCGCAUUACUGUUCAAAAGAUUGGGGAACUUUUUUUUUUUAUAUAAUUAACAUUAAAUUGAUCAAACAUGAUAUUAAAGCCAUGUAUAACGCAGCAAAAAGAUUUAUUUUUAAAAUAAAUGCUGUUUUUUAAACUUUCUAUUCAUCCCAGACUCAUUAAAAAUGACCAGUUUCUGCAAAAAUGUUAAGCAGCACAAUUGUUUUAAACACUGAUUAGAAAAUUUUCUAAUGUUUUAUCAUCAGGGAAUAAUAAAAUGCUAUUGCAGUGUAAGAUAUGGCUCCCUUUAAACCACAUAUGUGUGAAAGAGAGCAUUGUGUUGACAAAGCAUAGCAUUAGUUGCCUUACAGGGAGUAGAGGAGGAUAAAAUCCCACCCAGAGAGAUCGUUAUAACUGAAAGAGUUUCCACGAGGACAUUCAACACAACACUUCACAGCCUGAAAACACAUGAAAAGACCAUAAGAUACUGACUAAAGGGGGAGAGAUAAAGCGAAAGCAAGGCAUGAAGAGAAAGAGGACUCCCUGAGGGAGAAGAGGAGGAGGCUGGUGAGGAGAGGAGAAAAGCAUAACAGCAAUCUGACACACUUCCUGCCUGUGAAAUGCUGCGGUUGUCAUCUGUGGCAUUAUAUAACAAGCCACUACAGAGAAAAGCAAAACAUCAUAUCGCUAUCUACAUUGAUGUAACACUCUCAGGUCACUGUAGGAGAAGAGGAGGAGGCUGGUGAGGAGAGGAGAAAAGACAUAACAGCAAUCUGACACACUUCCUGCCUGUGAAAUGCUGCGGUUGUCAUCUGUGGCAUUAUAUAACAAGCCACUACAGAGAAAAGCAAAACAUCAUAUCGCUAUCUACAUUGAUGUAACACUCUCAGGUCACUGUGUUUGGUAUGAUGAAAGUGUUUAGAAAGUUAGACGAUGAACUUGUUUUCACUAGUUUUUCAUACUAGUUCUGGUACUUUGGAACAGUGCACAAAUUGGUAAAUUACAAAACCCAAUAACUUUUUAGAGAGCAUUAAAAGCAAAAAGUUAGGGUUUUUUUUCUUCUUCUCCAGAGAACUAUUAAAUAUGUUAGAUAAACUUAAUUUGACAAAAAUGAAAAUAGAUAUUUUACACUUUAUUAAUGAAAAGCAUCAGCAUGACAGUAAAUGUUAAUCACUUUAAGCUCCCUAAAAGCUUCAUUUGACAGGUGCUGUGAGUGUUUGUAUUUGAUUUGACAUAGUGACAGAUAUUGAUUAGUUUUCCAUCAGAGGAACCGGCCGAUUCACUCUCUACAAAACGGGAACAGCACUUGAAAGCUCUUUAAUGGACAAUAACAGAUGAAACCCCCAGAGGUCAAAGAUCAACUCCCAGUGGUCCCAAGCCAAGCAGAUAUGCUUAAAAAAAGGCCUGAGUGAUAUUAAUGGAUCACACCAGCUUCUGACUCAAUCAGGAUGAUCCUGGGGCUUUUAGAAACACUAUGUCUUAACCAGGCAGGAUGGGCAUCAAGGAGAGUUUACAGUGACAGCAACAAAGCCAUUCAUCGAGCUGUGAUGCACAGCUUGUUCUGAUUGGCUGUCAUUUUGUUGUAUUUGCAUAGUAGUGUGUUUUCAGUGUGGGCAGAAAAAUGACUUAAAGCUAGAAAUUUGGUGAGGAAUGUAGAUGAAGAUCUGGUGACUGUGAUCAUCAUCUUACUUUACAGUAUUUUAUCCACUUCAUUAAAAGGCUUUGGCUUAUUUCUCCCAUAGAGUGGCAUGAAUCAUGAUCACGUUGCUUUGUGGAUGUGAAUAGAUGAAUAUAAGUUUUCCCAUCUCCCUAUAAACAUGACUGUAGUACCAAGGUCCAUUAAAAGCAGAAGGGAGUUGCUACAAUGAGACCAUUUAAGGAUUUUACAUGUAGGAGCCAAAAAGUUGUUAAAUAAAUCAGAAUCUCUCCAGGGAGGGAAGGGAAACAUUUGGGCUCAGUCCACCUCAACCAGAGAAGUUAAGAAAACAGACGCUCAGAGGGAAAGAUUGAAACAGAAGAUCAGGCUCAGAUACUCAUGAUGGCAACACAAUCACAGCAUUACAUAAUCGAAAUGACAGAGACUGAUUAGUUUGGAGGAUUGUGUGUUUUAGAGCAUAAGAUGGUCCAGAUGUUGACCUUGCCCUCAAUAUUACUGAUCACAGACAUGUAAAGUCAGUAGAAUGUAACAAAGCACCUGGCACGUAUUUAAUAUUAUCCUAAACACAUGAAUGACAAUGAUUUAGCUCGAUGAGGUUUAGAGAAGGCCAGCGGACAGGUGCAG
rnacentral:lncRNA from 1 species